ensembl:snoRNA
UACGAGGCUAAUGAACAAACUGAACUGAGAUUGAGCUCUGAUUGUCACUAUACCUCCCUAGAACAAACUUUGAUGACCAGGACUAAUUAAGUAAAAUCAUAGUGAACAGAUAGAUGUGAAGCAUGC